rnacentral:rRNA from 1 species
UACGGGAGGCAGCAGUGGGGGAUUUUGGGCAACGGCAGCAAGCCUGAUUCGGCCAUGGCGCAGCCGGAGAAGGCCUCGGGCUUAAGCACGAUAAGCGUGGAAGAGGGUCCUU